CUGAAAAUAAACAACAAUGAAAAAUUCGGUGGUAGUGCGGGAAAAAGAAAAACACCCCAGAUCCAAAUUUUAGAUUAUAAUUUUAAUAUACUGUUACCAUCAUACAGGAAGAAGUGAAAAAAAAUACAUAACUCGGAUGUGAUCGCAUCUGAGGAUUACUGAUGGAGAGUAGAAGGGAUAGAAUCACACGCUGGAAGUACAAGAAGGGGAAAAUGGAAUAUGGGAAAGGAAAGCUGGAGGCAAAGAUUUACCUCAGAAAGGAGAACAGUAGGAGACCACAAUAGUUGGUCAGACCAUCACCUACAAAUCAGAGGAAUGAACAAAAAAGAAAUCCGUGUCUGGACUUUCUAAAUAUGGUACUGAGUCAGACACAGCAAUCUCCGGCAACAGAAAAAGUGAAAAAGGAAACAUUUAAAGUAAGACAACUGUGUGAUGCUGGGACUCACAGUGCAGUGCCUUCUGUUGUAGCAAGUGUCUAUAUUGCUAUGAACAACCCAGACAAUGCCAGAAUGUUGUAGCAGUAAGGACCACAGACCCACAUUUCAGCUUAAGACCAUCAUUUACUGAAAUCUGCUUAUAGGAAAAUGUGAUUAGCUGGAAGGUGAGUAGUUUGAUUGGUCUUCCCUCUUAGUAGUUCGAAGUUACAAAUAAGUUACAAAUGCUAUUUUAUAGUUACAAGGAAUACUUGUAUUUGAAUAGUGGUAACUCAUUUUUAAUUGAUCUGCCAUCCAUGUUGUCCUUCUAAGAAUUCUCUUUUUAGUCAGUGGUCUCGUCUGAUGGAACAAUAUCAUACCCAGAGAUUUCUUGUAACACAAAAGAACCCUGAGCUUCUUAGGUAGGAGGGGUAAAAGGAAAACAGAUGAAGAGAGCCAAAUAGCCCCAUUUGGUUGAUGUAGAUAUAGAUGGGUCUUUCAAUCCAUUUUUGAAACUGGCUGAUAGGGCUACCAC
rnacentral:lncRNA from 1 species